UUAUCUAUGUUUAUCUCUGGUUACGUGCAUCACGUGUUUUUCGAAAACUUGAGAAUAUUAAAAAUCCAUAUUAAUCGAUGCGAUAAAAUAAAUAUGAGUCAAAAUGUAAAAACCGUGCUUGUGGCUCAGUGUUAUGAUGUGCCUUCAAGAGGGUAAUUACGGUAUAAUUAUGGCUUAAAACCCCGCAAACAUGUAAAGGUGAUACUGCUGUUCUGGACUUGAAGCAUUGAAGACGUUAAGUAUCACAUGAGAAAACCACACACGAAAAAUGUUCGCAUAAGAUACGGCAAAAACCUAAAGGUAAUGUCGCUGUUGUGGACUUGAAGCAUUGAAGAUGCUAGGCAUCACCAGAUCUCCAGAUCCAGUGAGAAAACCACACACGAAAAAUUU